AUAGAUGGAUCCGCGCUGCAUUAGCUAGUUGGUAAGGUAACGGCUUACCAAGGCAACGAUGCAUAGCCGACCUGAGAGGGUGAUCGGCCACACUGGAACUGAGACACGGUCCAGACUCCUACGGGAGGCAGCAGUAGGGAAUCUUCCGCAAUGGGCGAAAGCCUGACGGAGCAACGCCGCGUGAGUGAUGAAGGUCUUCGGAUCGUAAAACUCUGUUAUUAGGGAAGAACAUAUGUGUAAGUAACUGUGCACAUCUUGA
rnacentral:rRNA from 1 species